CACUGCCGAGAAAAGCCUCUAGAUAGAAAAUAGGUGCCCGUACCGCAAACCGACACAGGUAGUCAAGAUGAGAAUUCUAAGGUGAGCGAGCGAACUCUCGUUAAGGAACUCGGCAAAAUGACCCCGUAACUUCGGGAGAAGGGGUGCUCUUUAGGGUUAACGCCCAGAAGAGCCGCAGUGAAUAGGCCCAAGCGACUGUUUAUCAAAAACACAGGUCUCUGCUAAACCGUAAGGUGAUGUAUAGGGGCUGACGCCUGCCCGGUGCUGGAAGGUUAAGAGGAGUGGUUAGCUUCUGCGAAGCUACGAAUCGAAGCCCCAGUAAACGGCGGCCGUAACUAUAACGGUCCUAAGGUAGCGAAAUUCCUUGUCGGGUAAGUUCCGACCCGCACGAAAGGCGUAACGAUUUGGGCACUGUCUCAACGAGAGACUCGGUGAAAUCAUAGUACCUGUGAAGAUGCAGGUUACCCGCGACAGGACGGAAAGACCCCGUGGAGCUUUACUGUAGCCUGAUAUUGAAAUUCGGCACAGCUUGUACAGGAUAGGUAGGAGCCUUUGAAACGUGAGCGCUAGCUUACGUGGAGGCGCUGGUGGGAUACUACCCUAGCUGUGUUGGCUUUCUAACCCGCACCACUUAUCGUGGUGGGAGACAGUGUCAGGCGGGCAGUUUGACUGGGGCGGUCGCCUCCUAAAAGGUAACGGAGGCGCUCAAAGGUUCCCUCAGAAUGGUUGGAAAUCAUUCAUAGAGUGUAAAGGCAUAAGGGAGCUUGACUGCGAGACCUACAAGUCGAGCAGGGUCGAAAGACGGACUUAGUGAUCCGGUGGUUCCGCAUGGAAGGGCCAUCGCUCAACGGAUAAAAGCUACCCCGGGGAUAACAGGCUUAUCUCCCCCAAGAGUUCACAUCGACGGGGAGGUUUGGCACCUCGAUGUCGGCUCAUCGCAUCCUGGGGCUGUAGUCGGUC
rnacentral:rRNA from 1 species